rnacentral:rRNA from 1 species
GACGAACGCUGGCGGCGUGCCUAAUACAUGCAAGUCGAACGCAUUUUCUUUCACCGUAGCUUGCUACACCGAAAGAAAAUGAGUGGCGAACGGGUGAGUAACACGUGGGUAACCUGCCCAUCAGCGGGGGAUAACACUUGGAAACAGGUGCUAAUACCGCAUAAUUCCAUUUACCGCAUGGUAGAUGGGUGAAAGGCGCUUUUGCGUCACUGAUGGAUGGACCCGCGGUGCAUUAGCUAGUUGGUGGGGUAACGGCCUACCAAGGCUGCGAUGCAUAGCCGACCUGAGAGGGUGAUCGGCCACACUGGGACUGAGACACGGCCCAGACUCCUACGGGAGGCAGCAGUAGGGAAUCUUCGGCAAUGGACGCAAGUCUGACCGGGCAACGCCGCGUGAGUGAAGAAGGUUUUCGGAUCGUAAAACUCUGUUGUUAGAGAAGAACAAGGAUGAGAGUGGAAAGUUCAUCCCUUGACGGUAUCUAACCAGAAAGCCACGGCUAACUACGUG